rnacentral:rRNA from 1 species
AGUGAACGCUGGCGGUAGGCCUAACACAUGCGAGUCGAACGGCAGCACAGUAAGAGCUUGCUCUUACGGGUGGCGAGUGGCGGACGGGUGAGGAAUACAUCGGCAUCUACUUUUUCGUGGGGGAUAACGUAGGGAAACUUACGCUAAUACCGCAUACGACCUACGGGUGAAAGCAGGGGAUCUUCGGACCUUGCGCGAUUGAAUGAGCCGAUGCCGGAUUAGCUAGUUGGCGGGGUAAAGGCCCACCAAGGCGACGAUCCGUAGCUGGUCUGAGAGGAUGAUCCGCCACACUGGAACUGAGACACGGUCCAGACUCCUACGGGAGGCAGCAGUAGGGAAUCUUGGGCAAUGGGCGCAAGCCUGAUCCAGCAAUGCCGCGUGGGUGAAGAAGGCCUUCGGGUCGUAAAGCCCUUUUGUUAGGGAAGAAAAACAGCGGGUUAAUACCCCGCUGUUCUGACGGUACCUAAUGAGUAAGCACCGGCUAACUACGUG